UACAAGCAGCUUCAUGUACUUUAUAUCAGCACUGCUAGUUUUAGCAGCUGCACCCUGUCUUUUCUGCAUUGAGCUGGAUCAGCCUCCUGUAAUGGUUGUAAAACCAGGGGAAACAUUUACCAUCGCCUGUAAGAUCACUGGAUAUUCAGCCUCAGGUGGAGGCUACACAAACUGGAUCAGACAUUCAAGUGGAAAACCGAUGGAAUGGAUCGGCUGGUACCACACUUCCAGCAGCAAUGGUGUCAAAGAUUCUCUCAAAAAUAAGAUCAGUUUCUCUUCUGAAUCCUCCAGCAACGCAGUUAUUUUAACAGGAAAAAACUUCAACACUGAGGACACUGCUGUGUAUUACUGUGCUCGAGAUACACUGUGCUACAACCUGUCACAGGACCUGUACAAAAACCCCGAACCACUGAACACAUUUUUCAAUAAAACAAAGUUAUACAUUGCAGAUCCUUUCCAUCUUAUGACAUAA